GACGAACGCUGGCGGCGUGCUUAACACAUGCAAGUCGAACGGAAAGGCCCUGCUUUUGUGGGGUGCUCGAGUGGCGAACGGGUGAGUAACACGUGAGUAACCUGCCCUUGACUUUGGGAUAACUUCAGGAAACUGGGGCUAAUACCGGAUAGGAGCUCCUGCUGCAUGGUGGGGGUUGGAAAGUUUCGGCGGUUGGGGAUGGACUCGCGGCUUAUCAGCUUGUUGGUGGGGUAGUGGCUUACCAAGGCUUUGACGGGUCGCCGGCCUGAGAGGGUGACCGGCCACAUUGGGGCUGAGAUACGGCGCAGACUCCUACGGGAGGCAGCAGUGGGGAAUAUUGCACAAUGGGCGGAAGCCUGAUGCAGCAACGCCGCGUGCGGGAUGACGGCCUUCGGGUUGUAAACCGCUUUCGCCUGUGACGAAGCGUGAGUGACGGUAAUGGGUAAAGAAGCACCGGCUAACUACGUG
rnacentral:rRNA from 1 species